AAUGUAUGUUCAUAUUGAAAUUGAUAGAAAACCAAAAAUUGGGAAUUUUGGAAAUGAAGGAGGAGGUAUAAAAUUUCUAACAACACUUUACAUACUUUUAACUCCGCUCUGAAUGCCCGCGAUUUCGCGGGUGUGUUCUAGUAUUUUUUGAAAUAGAAUGGUCCCAAAAUUUUAUGAAAUCAUUUUUCAAUUUUUUAUAUAUAGAAACAGUCAAACGAUUUUUACUAAAUGAAUUUUGAUUUUCCCAGACAUGGUCAAAUCCAACUUUUUCAAAUAACAAUUUCAUUUUAAUUCUAUACCAGUCUGACUUAUUAUUAAGGUUUGAUGAAUAAAUUUUAUUUAUUAAGCUAUCCGGAUUUGAAUUGACUAUAUGAUGCCAGUAACCUACACAAAGUUUAGUAGCAUCAACAGAGCAUGGGAUCAUACCCAAUUCUCC
rnacentral:lncRNA from 1 species